UGUGUUAGUGUAGUGAUCAUU
rnacentral:piRNA from 1 species